AAAAGUUUGAAAUCUGGGUCCCUGAAAUGCGAUUUCAAGCAGUUUGGUUGGGGUGACAUUUUGGAGAAUUCCAAUGAUUAUAAAGUACAUCAAAGACAUGAUUUUCUAUGAUCUCAAAAACGUACCUUUUCCCAGACAUUUGUUUUCGGAAAUAAAUAAUUGGAAAAGUCAUCUUGGAAAUCUGGAGGAGGGGUCCGUAUCACCUUAUUUCCCCUCUGUGAUGCUGGGAGGAAAAAACUCAAUUUCAUUUUGAUCGGAAUGUUGCACUUAGGGUGGUUUUUGUGGUGAUUUGGGGGGGGGGGGAAGGAGCGGUCGCCCAUAAACUAAGCCACUGCUUACGAUUCUGCGACUUGAAACUCAACCUUUUACGAUUCUGCUCGACCAACAAACAUAGUAUAUAAUUAUAAGUGAACGUGAGGAAACCUAAACUAACUUAAAGUUUCAAGUUUACUGAAAGUCAGUUCAAGUUUAAUAUCGAUGUUGAUAAUGGGUAGCUAGCUCUUUCAGUGCUAAACUGCUUUUCUCACCGAUAAUGGUUCAGUAUUACAAC